GACGAACGCUGGCGGCGUGCCUAACACAUGCAAGUCGUACGGGAUUUGGGGGCAACUCCAAGUUCAGUGGCAGACGGGUGCGUAACACGUGAGCAACUUGCCCGACGGCGGGGGAUAGCCGGCCUAACGGCCGGGUAAUACCGCGUACGCUCUUUUGGGGACAUCCCUGAAUGAGGAAAGCAGCCGCAAGGUUGCGCCGACGGAGGGACUCGCGGCCUAUCAGCUAGUUGGCGGGGUAAUGGCCCACCAAGGCGACGACGGGUAGCUGGUCUGAGAGGACGAUCAGCCACAUUGGGACUGAGACACGGCCCAGACUCCUACGGGAGGCAGCAGUGGGGAAUAUUGCGCAAUGGCCGCAAGGCUGACGCAGCGACGCCGUGUGUGGGAUGACGGCCU
rnacentral:rRNA from 1 species